rnacentral:ncRNA from 1 species
GUGCAGCAACGGCUUCCUGAAGCUGCGCUAACCUCAUCGGAGCA